AAGUCGUAACAAGGUUUCCGUAGGUGAACCUGCGGAAGGAUCAUUACAGAGAACCUGCCCUCCGGGGUAGAUCUUCCACCCUUUGCUUACCUCACCUUUGUUGCUUUGGCAGGCCCGUCCCCCGGGACCGCCGGCUCCGGCUGGCCAGCGCCUGUCAGAGGACCCCCAACUCUUGUUUAAUUGUCGUCUGAGUACUAUAUAAUAAGUUAAAA
rnacentral:misc_RNA from 1 species